rnacentral:tRNA from 1 species
UGGGGUGUAGAUCAAUGUAGAGCACUUGCCUAGCACAUUUGAGGCCCUGGGUUCAAUCCCCAGUACCACAU